rnacentral:lncRNA from 1 species
CAACAGCUUGCUUCAGGGGCUGCAGGCCGUGAACGGCGUUGUGCUUGCGCGCGAGACCCGUGUCUGAUUUGGAAAGAAUCAAUCCGGUGAAGAAGAAGGCCAAUGCAAUUGCUCUCUAGCUAGGCAUUGGAGUAUCUGCACCCCCAAUGGAACGCUACGAAUUGCUGCUGGUACUGAACAUUGACAGGUAAAACUUAGCAUAUCCAGAAGGGAAAUACAUCAUUAUAAGCUACUUCCAUAGAUGCAUCUAGAUCAUAGCAUCUGAACUUGAGGAUAGCAGACAAAAAUUCAAACAGAAAGCAAGCUACGCUCCAUAUUGUGUUCCGGGAAAAGUAUAUUUUUCGUCCCUCGAUUAUUUCAAAAGUAUAGAAAUGGUUUCUCAACUUCAAAACCAGCAAAACUUAGUCCCUUAAUUUUUUAAACUGGAUAAGUUUAGUCCCUCGUGCAACUUUGGGUGGUUUUCUGCCGAUCUUUGAGCGGUUUUUGACUCGGAUUGGCAAAGUGUGGGCCCCACCACCUCUACCCAUUUUUUAAAUUUUAAUUCCGGUUAUUUAUCCCUCUAACUUACCUAUGGACCCCACUGUAAUGAGCAUCGUCAACCUCAAACAGCACACGGUUCGUGUGUCGGCACCCUGGAUGCCGGUGCUCUGAAGCUCGCCGAUGACCAAGCCUGGCUCCGGAGGCGGCACGCGGCAGCAUGCACUCCCUCGCCACGGCUCUAUUUCUUGCUUGAGCUCUUGCGCUCAACGCUCCUUGUGGCUGAACGCGCGCACGGCCGUCGGAGGAACUUGCACGCGACGCGCUCCACCAGGAGUUGAUGGGCUGCUGCGCAUUGAGUAGCUCUAGGAUUUGUGCUUGUGUGUGUGUGCUACCGUUCGCGCUGAGUGUGCGUGCUCCGUUCUGGGUUGACGUUGCUGCUCUUGUCUGUGUGCGUGAUUUGCGUGAUGCGCUCGGUGUGAGAGGGCGACGAUGUGGUCGCCCGUGAUUGCUGGGCGUUGUGAUGACGGGACUCAUGAACUCGCGGGUGGCGGCAGCGAACGUGCAACGACGGUGCGGGCCGACGGGAUGGCUGUAGGCCGGGUUCCUGAUGCAGAGAAGGUGCAGGAUGCCGAGGCAUGGCGAGGUCAGCAGGGUUGGGACAGAGUUUUGCGUGCAGUCAGCAGGCGCAGACGCACGCGACAGCUUGGCCUCCGCAUACAUGCGAGCUCGUACAACAGCAAGGCCAGGGCGGAGCUGUGCGUGCGGCCAGCGGGCCGGACACAUGCGGCGGCAGCCUUCACGUCAACCCCGUGGGCGGCGCGCUGCGGGAAGCGCCGGAGCGGCCUUACGGAGGUCUCCAAGGACUAGAGCCACCUCGCCGGAGGCCUCCAUGCCCACGCCAUUCUCCUGCUGCUGGACGCGCAUCAACUGCUUGAUGAAAUGCCUAGCCAAGUUCGAAUGAUAAGCAACGAGAAGAUCCACCUGGGAUCGCCACGUGGACGUAGACCCGGUCAAAACCACACAAAGCAGCACAGAGGGACUAAAAUUAUCUGGUUUGAAAAAUUGAGGGACUAAAAUUAUCUGGUUUGAGAAAUUAAGGGACUAUGGUUUGCUGGUUUUGAAGUUGAGGGACCAUUUCUAUACUUUCGAAAUAAUUAAGGGACCAAAAAUAUACUUUUCCCUUAUAUCCCAUAUCGAAUAACAGGUUCAUAUUUGAUUGGUUUCUUCACAGCAGCGCAUGGAAGAUAAAAUAUCUCUGUUUUGAUAUAUUUCUAUGCCACUGUUUUUGAAUUUUUUUCAUCCAUAAAUCAUGCGACUCAAGUCAAUUUGAGAUCGAAUUUGUUCAUGAGGUCAAGACUGAACCUUGCGACAGCUCCAGGUUAACAUACAUCCAUACUGAAUUUUCUUGGCUAAUUGUAAAUAUUGUUCUAUGUAUUUUUGUGACAGCAACGUGAGGUUUUUAAUUGGUAUUGUGCUUGAAACAAAGUUGGAUGAUGCAUAUUUCCUACAAUCAUUUUGAAAGGUUUGCCCCCUUUAUAGGUUAUAAGGUAGGUCCCGAAUUCUUGCCAGAUAUUGUAUGAACGCCUAUUCAGAGUAUUUCGCCCUUGAUUGCAAAGAUAUUUUCUUACAGAUAACCUUUGACUUCUCGAUGAACUCUGUACUGUCAGUAUUUGUGCACAAUGCACAUUCUGAAACUUACAACUAUUAGUGAUCAAUGAGACAAGAGUACUUGAUCCUCGAUCCUUAAACUAUCAUCUUACUCAUAACCAUGUACUACUCGGUGAACCCUAUAUAUCUAUCAGUAGUUGGAAGCACUACAAAGCAGUGUCAAAUUCAGUAUUAUAUGUACAUGAGUUUGCUGAUUUCAGGCAAGCAACAACAAACAGACUUUGCUGUUUUCAGUCUAUUGAGAUAUUUGUUGGGCAUCACCGAGGAACGCCAGCAAAGGCGUGAAGAAAUACUCGCAAUCAGGUAUAUAUUUCAGUGGUCUUAAUCGCACAAACCUUCAGUAUAGUUACGGUAUCAUCCCACCUUUAUGUUUUGCGACCAUUAGACAUCCAAAGGUCGAGCUAUGCGUCGUGUGCCAUCUGAGUCAACUGCUUCUCACUUGUAAUCCAUCUGAUUGAACAAUUGAUCGACCAUCUCUCAUCGACCCAUGCAUGCAGCGAUGGAUUUACUCUGAAUUUUUUCAUGUCCUGGAACAUUAACUGGAUUGAUUCAUGGAUGCAGUGUGACAUGUCGUGUGAGAUGAAGGUGGCAAACCAUCCAAACUUGAAGCCAAGCAUGUGGUGGAUCCGCCAUGGAUGAUGGAUGGACCGGUGAGUGUAGAAGUUUGAGCUGUGAAACUUUGUGCGAUCGAGCUCCUGGUGUAAUUAAGCAUAUGGCUUUUGUGAUGUGUUAUGUAGGUAGUGAUUGCCUAUAUUUCUUUCCCUCUUAAAUUUGUUGUAAUAAGGUUGUCCUUUGCAGAAGGAAGAUUGAACCGCCUUUUGGUUUAGGUAGAAGCACCCAUUGAUGUUUUCCAGUUCUUUGUAUUCAUUCUAUUAUGUGCUAUAAUAGUUAAUUGCAUAUAUAUGUACUAUGUUUGGAUAUUCUCACGCAACAUCUAUGUACAACAGAUGCAGAUUUUCAGAAUAUUUAACCAAAAACCUUUGCCUGCACUGUUCAGAAUAUGAAGCCAUAUUAUAACAAAGUUU